GCGCCUGUAGCUCAGCUGGAUAGAGCGCUUGCCUCCGGAGCAAGAGGCCGCUGGUUCGAAUCCAGUCAGGCGCACCA
rnacentral:tRNA from 1 species